rnacentral:rRNA from 1 species
CCUACGGGAGGCUGCAGUGGGGAAUAUUGGACAAUGGGCGCAAGCCUGAUCCAGCCAUGCCGCGUGAGUGAAGAAGGCCCUCGGGUUGUAAAGCUCUUUUGUUGGGAAAGAAAUCCUGUUGGUUAAUACCUGGCAGGGAUGACGGUACCCAAAGAAUAAGCACCGGCUAACUUCGUGCCAGCAGCCGCGGUAAUACGAAGGGUGCAAGCGUUACUCGGAAUUACUGGGCGUAAAGCGUGCGUAGGUGGUUGUUUAAGUCUGUCGUGAAAGCCCUGGGCUCAACCUGGGAAUUGCGAUGGAUACUGGGCGACUAGAAUGUGGUAGAGGGUGGCGGAAUUCCCGGUGUAGCAGUGAAAUGCGUAGAGAUCGGGAGGAACAUCCGUGGCGAAGGCGGCCACCUGGACCAACAUUGACACUGAGGCACGAAAGCGUGGGGAGCAAACAGGAUUAGAUACCCCUGUAGUC